AUGGUGUUUUUGGAAGUGUUUCAGUGUUGUUUGGAAAUGUUCAAAGGUGUUCAAAGGUGUUUUGAGUGUGUUCAAAUGUUGUUUUUUGAAGGUGAUCAAGGGUGUUCAAGGGUGUUUUGAAGGUGUUCAAAGGUGUUUUGAGGUUAUUCAAAGGUGUUUUGAAGGUGUUCAAGGGUGUUUAUGUGAGUAUUCAAAGGUGUUUUGAGGUUAUUCAAAAGGUGUUUUUGAGGGUGUUCAAGAGUGCUUUGAAGGUGUUCAAAGGUGUUUAUGUGAGUAUUCAAAGGUGUUUUUUGAAGGUGUACAAAUGAUUAUGAGAGUACUUAUGAAGGUGUUCAAAUGAUGUGCAAGAGUACUUAUGAAGGUGUUCUGGGAGUAUUCAGAGGUGAUUUGGGGGUGUUCGAAUGAUGUUUUUGGAGUAUUUCAGUGUUGUUUGGAAAUGUAUAAAGGUAUUUUUUUGUGAGUAUUCAAAUGAUUUAUGAGUGUUUUGAAGAUGUUCAAAGUAAAAGUGCGUAUUUAACUUCGUAAUAUGUAAAAUUGUGAGUAGUGAAUUUAACGAAAGUGGAUGUAAGCGAUGUGGUGACUUUCUGAUGCAUGUGUCCCCUUAUUAACUUUAAUGAACUAAAAGGGUAAAAACGAGAAAAUGCCUAGUCUGGAGACUGCGGGAUGAGUUGUAAUUUAAUGAAAUGUGUAAGUGCAGAUAAAUUAGAGAUGUCAAAUCUUAUUUGGGAGUACUCAAAUAGUGUUUUGGAAAUGUACAAAGGUGUUUUGAGUGUGUUCAAAGGUGUUUUGAAUGUG